ACUAAUGUACCACUCAUGCACGCUCUCUCGGUUUGUGGGCCCUAUCCCGUUCCAACGUGACCUUGCAAUCACCACAUGACUUUUUCCGUGUUUUACCUUCACUUGCACGCUAUCGCAAAUCAUUUUUCGAUAGGUCACUCAUCUUUCCACUACUCUAGCUCAAGCACGCUUAACUCUAGAGUUCUAAACGAAUGUGUACCGCAAAAGGUAAGCGCACUUUGAUGAUAUAGGUAGCCAAAUCAAUUCUCUUAAGC
rnacentral:lncRNA from 1 species